AAGCGAAACAAAUGGAAGUCUGACGGCGCAAGGUCAGUUUAAAAUGCCUGUUCACAGCUGAUAACCACCAAGUAAAUGAUCUCCCUAAGACUGGAAUGUCAGAAAAGGAGUAACGAGAAUGACUGACUUAAAGAUUAUGAUCCUGAAGCUAUGACCUGUUUCUGGCUCUGUGUGAAAUGGAACAGGAGGAUCAGAUGUCAAAUUUUGAUCCUGAUGAGUUACUCACUUUCUCCUUUUUCACCUAAAAUUGAAAGAGGAGAGAUGCAAAUUCUGCUUCCAUUAUGGGUGGCAACUCCUCCCAACCAGCUGGUCCUGAAACAGUAACUCUAAAAUUGCCUCCUGAAGCUUUGAGAAGUGCAUUGCAAGAGACAAAUGGGUGUUUUUGGUUUGGGUCUGGGUGGUGUUUUCCCCAGAUUUACUCCCAAGGAAUUUCUCCUUCCCUUUCCCCACCAUGUGUGCAUGCGUGCAUCAGUCCACCCUUUAGUUGGCGGGUCCUUCAGUCCAGAGAUUGGUAAGGCUGUCAAUCAAGAGGUGGGCAUAUGUAUUGCGUCUGGGUCAGUUAGGCUCAGUCUCUAGGUCUUUUGCCAGAAGACAUGUUAAGGCCAAAAGGAAAAAAAGAAAGGGAGUGUGUGUGUGUGUGUGUGUGUGUGUGUGUGUGUGUGUGUGUGGUGGUGGGGGGGAGGGAUUGGCUAUGCUUUCUAGCAUCCAUCCUGUGAAGCUGCCCAUUAGUUCUUGUUCCCUGAAUCCCUACUCUUUCCUUCCUGUAAAAUCCUCUUUUGUCAUUGUAACAGGAAUAAAUAUUGAUCCUCUCCAGCAACGUUGGUAUAAAAGUACUGAUUUUCAUGUCACUGUGCCCCAACAAGACUAUAUUUCCCAGUGUCCUUUACAGACUGGAGGGGCCAAUGAGAUGUCCGUAGCUUGGUGGUGACAACAACGAGGCACAAUGUCUGUUCAUAUGCCGCUCCUUCUU